GACGAACGCUGGCGGCGUGCUUAACACAUGCAAGUCGAGGGGGCCCGCAAGGGUCACCGGCGAACGGGUGCGUAACACGUGAGCAACCUGCCACGGAGUGGGGGAUAGCCGGCCCAACGGCCGGGUAAUACCGCAUACGAUCCUUCGGGGGAGUCCCCGGGGGAGGAAAGAUUUAUCGCUCUGUGAGGGGCUCGCGGCCUAUCAGCUAGUUGGUGGGGGAAUGGCCCACCAAGGCGACGACGGGUAGCUGGUCUGAGAGGAUGGCCAGGCACAUGGGGACUGCGAGACGGCCCAGACUCGGACGGGAGGCAGCAGUGGGGAAUCUUGCGCAAUGGGCGAAAGCCUGACGCAGCGACGCCGCGUGGGGGAGGAAGGUUUUCGGAUCGUAAACCCCUGUUGCCCGGGACGAACCUCUCGUUUCGACGAGACUGACGGUACCGGGUAAGGAAGCACCGGCUAACUCCGUGCCAGCCGCCGCCGUAAUAC
rnacentral:rRNA from 1 species